CCUUCAGCUGGGGAUGGAGCCAGCGCUACAGUUUCAGAUGGCUUCUUCACUCAAGUGCCAGAGACGGGCCCAGAGACCUUCAGCAGAGGCUAGGCGUUUGGUAUGCCAGUAGUUGUCACAAAAGAUGCACCUCCAACAACUGCAAGACAUGAGAUGCAUGACCUUAGAGUAACCAAGCACAGCCUACUUGGAAGAGGUUUCUGUUAACCAGUAUAAAUCUAAGACACGCUUCUACGAUCAUCCAGAGGACAAGGGAAAAAUGACCUGACAUUUCUGUCCAGUUCUCACAGAAGACAGAAACAGUGGAAAAAAACCUGCUCUGAAGCACAAAGUUAUACAGGAGGGGGUGCAGGAAAAUAAACAAACCUCAACUAUUUUACAGAGAAAAUUGAUUUAAUCUGUGUAAUAGUAUUCAGUAAUGCAGCUCAGCUAAAUGUAUUUUUGCUAUGCUAGAUUUGAAUGCUGAUGUCUACUGCCUGGCAGUAACUUGAACCUAUUAUUAUUAGGCCCUUUAACAGUCAUAAGGGCAUGAAUUUGACUUCACGCAGAUGUCUGUAUCUCAGCAAAACAGAAGUGCUGUUGCUGCUGAAAUAUAAUGCAAAAGGAAGCAGAGUUUUACAAAUCCACCUUUCCUUGUUGUUCUCAACAGACUACCUG